CAGAUUUUUUUUUUCUUUUUUUUCUGGGUGAACUGCCCCUUUAAGAUUUAUUUUCAUUGUCGCUCUUCAGGACCUUUUAGGAUUAAAGAUUUAAACUUUUGUGUCUUAAAACACACGACUGUUCUCCAUCCACCAUCCACUUCACCUUAUUUUCGUAGCUGUAGGUUUUACCCACUCUCCAGACAGGCAAUCUGAUAAAAGAUUGAAAUUACAAACAGUGCUGAUAACUCAAAUGAAACCAGAUGUUGGCUCCGAUUACAAGAUAUCAGUCAAAUGUAUGAAAGCAUGCUUUAAAUAGUGAAAGCUAUACUUUUCUGUUAUCAUGAUCGCAUCCACCCUCAUCUCACCCACAGGUGAUGCGAGUCAAUAGCGCACCGUUGAACGCGUGGGAGAGACUCAGCCUAUCUCAUUACAGCCGCGAACUUCAUCUGGUACAAGAGUCAUUUCUUGUGUGAGACUGCAGUUAUUUCAACUUCUUGAGGAGCAGGCAUGGAUACAGCGCGGGCAGCCAGGGCGCAUAUUAUCUGGACAUUGAUAGCUUUGGUCUUUAUUUUAAUCGCGUCGUGCUUGACGUAUGUCUUCAUGUCGAAGGUGUCUGGAUGCCAAAGAAUUAGAACCGUGAAUGUCUCUGCAAUAGAAAGUAUGUUCUCAAGAAAGUAUGUUCAUCAAAUCUCACAGGAACACUGGCUUUUGACAGCUCGGGGCUACAAUCAGACAGGUGAUUGGUUGAUCUGGGAGGAUGAGUGGCACGGAUACAGGGAUAAGAAUGAGAGUAUUCUGGACCACACCAACAUGUCGAUGAUCAUUCGAGAGAAAGGUGUCUACCUGGUCUACAUACAAGUUAACUUCCAACUGAACCCACAGAAGAACAGCAGCUCUACUGUAGAACUCAAAAUUUUAGUGUAUUUCAGUUCUGAUGGGGAGAAGCAGCUAUUUGCAGCCGCACACGACACUCAGGUGGUGAUUGACUCACCUCAGGACGCCAAGCUCAACACUUUCCUUCUGAUGAAAAUGCAGCCAACAAGCCAGUUAUCAGUGAGAGUAUUUCCGAGUGAAUUUGUGAACUGCACACCACAACCCUUUUCCAGUUUUAUCACUAUCAUAAAAUGGGCAGAUGACUGGUAGAUUGUUGCAUAUAUUGCAGAAGUUUUUGGCUUUCCAGGUGAAAACCAUAUCCAUGUCCAGUUUUUACAAUGGCGGUUGUUCUUAUAUUUUUGUUAGCUUUAAAUGUGACAUUUUAGGAAGAAUGCGGUCUCAAGAUCAGCUGCUAGAACACCUGAGAUUUUCCAGCUGUUUGUUGUACUAGGAAAUGCUCGCUGACAUUAACAAGGAUUGCGUGGGGGGUUGUGAUACUUUCUUGGUGUUUUUCUUCUUCCUUUCGAAAUAUGAAGAUCACAUCUCAUGAUCUUCUCAGAAGCAUGACACAUUUUCCUCUCAACAGAUAUAUGUUAGGUUUGUUUUGUUUCAGUUUUUUUUAUGAGUCAAGAUGAAAAAAGGGCACGAUAUACUGUUAAUGAGCACUGACUUUGAAGAUUCUCAUGUAUUACGUACAUAAAAGAUGUCAUAAGUGCCUGCAAACGAACAUUGUUUUACUAAACAAUAGUAAGCUAAUUCUGAGCAAGUGGGUAUUUCUGCGGUGAAAGGCAUCUUCCUGUGUAUAUAUAAUCAUAGUGUUUUUUUUUAAUCAUCGACAGCUGAAUGUAAAAACCUCUUAACCUAUCUUUGUCUAGCAUCAGUGUUUGACAUAAAUGUUCAUUGUAUCAAAAGCUAUGGAGCAAUAUUUUGUGUAAAUAUGUGCUUCUUUUCAAGACAAGAAACCAGCUUUUUUUUCAAAGUUCUUGAAAUGUGGAGCUAGUUUUUAGCUGUAAGCAGAUUCAUCCAGCCACAGAAGCAUUUAUUUGUUCAUGCAGGGAUGUCAUGGAAUUAUUUUUUCUUAUGGGGGUGACUAGGGGUGGGUUUUUUUUUCCACAUUCAAAAAAACCCACUAGUUACACUAAUCCAAUCAGUCAAACAAGCCAUAUGAAUCUGAACAACAUCAGCUGUUUUAAUAAGACAGCGGAGUGUUUUUCUUUUCUAGCGAGUGGGAAAGUUUCUUUUUCAAACCCAGUAUUUUUUCAGUCAGGAAAAUACCAUUUAUGAUGAUGCUUACUUUUUUUGUAUUCAGAUGAAUCAAACCUGCUAAGUCUUAAGAAUAUGUUUAAAUAAGAGACUAAAUAUGAAUUUUUUUUUUUUUAUGAAAGUUUUGUUCUUUCACAGCUAAGCCCUUACUUGUGUUGUAACUAACA
rnacentral:lncRNA from 1 species